rnacentral:rRNA from 1 species
GACGAACGCUGGCGGCGUGCUUAACACAUGCAAGUCGAACGCUGAAGCACCAGCUUGCUGGUGUGGAUGAGUGGCGAACGGGUGAGUAAUACGUGAGUAACCUGCCCUUGACUCUGGGAUAAGCCCGGGAAACUGGGUCUAAUACUGGAUGCUACAUGUCACCGCAUGGUGGUGUGUGGAAAGGGUUUACUGGUCUUGGAUGGGCUCACGGCCUAUCAGCUUGUUGGCGAGGUAAUGGCUCACCAAGGCGACGACGGGUAGCCGGCCUGAGAGGGUGACCGGCCACACUGGGACUGAGACACGGCCCAGACUCCUACGGGAGGCAGCAGGGGGGAAUAUUGCACAAUGGGCGAAAGCCUGAUGCAGCGACGCCGCGUGAGGGAUGACGGCCUUCGGGUUGUAAACCUCUUUCAGCGGGGAAGAAGCCACAAGUGACGGUACCUGCAGAAGAAGCGCCGGCUAACUACGUGCCAGCAGCCGCCGUAA